UGAGUGGUAUCAAUAAGCUAUCGACCCUCCUCAACUGGUUCACCCCAACUGUCCGCCGCUGCAUCUCCGUUCAAGUUCAAUUGAUUGGUUGAGGUUUUGGUGCUUAAAAGGAAAUAGCUAGACUUAGGGUUUUUAUUCAGGAAAUUUGGGAUUAUAAUCCUACAGAUGCCUAAUGAGUUGCAUGCAUGAUAAUGUAAAUCUCAACUACUUAGUCAACAAGUCAAUCAGCUCUCGCAUGUUUUGACUUGUCUAUUAACUAGAUCUAAUGAUCUCAACUAUCGUAUGUUGAUCAAUUAGAAAGUGUCGAUCGAUGAUCCUAUAGGGAUAUCGAUCGAUACACCUUUCGCUCCGUCGAUCGAUUAUGCAAUAAUGAUAUCGAUCGACGCGCUUCUAGUUAAGCUUUAUACGCGGGUUGAAUGGUAGCUUACUAAGCUCACUAGAUCAGCUCUCGCCUUACUCAUAGCAAGAAACUUAGCUCAAUUAGAAUGUUUUCAGGAUGAAAAUGAAGCUCUCGCUUUUAUCUAUCAAUCCUAGGGCAAGUUCUAGGUAGCUAAUCUAGAAACAAGCAUUAAUGAACAAUCCUAAUGACAAUUACCACAACUUAGCAAUCUAUAUUUGGGGCUAAUCCCUCCUAACCUAUUUAAACCCUAAA
rnacentral:lncRNA from 1 species